rnacentral:rRNA from 1 species
CCUACGGGAGGCAGCAGUGGGGAAUAUUCGGCAAUGGGCGCAAGCCUGACCCAGCAACGCCGCGUGAAGGAAGAAGGCUUUCGGGUUGUAAACUUCUUUUCUCAGGGACGAAGCAAGUGACGGUACCUGAGGAAUAAGCCACGGCGAAAUACGUGCCAGCAGCCGCGCUAAUAAGUAGGUGGCAAGCGUUGUCCGGAUUUACUGGGGGUAAAGGUCGGGUAGGCGGGGACGCAAGUCAGAUGUGAAAACCACGGGCUCAACCUGUGGCUUGCAUUUGAAACUGUGUUUCUUGAGUACUGGAGAGGCAGAUGGAAUUCCUAGUGUAGCGGUGAAAUGCGUAGAUAUUAGGAGGAACACCAGUGGCGAAGGCGGUCUGCUGGACAGCAACUGACGCUGAGGCGCGAAAGCGUGGGGAGCAAACAGGAUUAGAUACCCCGGUAGUC